rnacentral:rRNA from 1 species
CCUACGGGAGGCUGCAGUGGGGAAUAUUGCACAAUGGGGGAUACCCUGAUGCAGCGACGCCGCGUGAGGGAAGAAGUAUUUCGGUAUGUAAAGCUCUUUCAGCAGGGAAGAAAAUGACGGUACCUGUAUAAGAAGCCCCGGCUCUCUACGUGCCAGCAGCCGCGGUAAUACGGAGGGGGCAAGCGUUAUCCGGAUUUACUGGGUGUAAAGGGAGCGUAGGCGGCAGGACAAGUCUGGAGUGAAAGGUCGGGGCUUAACCCUGGAAGUGCAUUGGAAACUGUGCAGCUAGAGUGCAGGAGAGGUAGGUGGAAUUCGUAGUGUAGCGGUGAAAUGCGUAGAUAUUAGGAGGAACACCAGUGGCGAAGGCAGCUUACUGGACUGUAACUGACGUUGAGGCUCGAAAGCGUGGGGAGCAAACAGGAUUAGAUACCCCAGUAGUC